rnacentral:rRNA from 1 species
UCAGUACCGUGAGGGAAAGGCGAAAAGAACCCCGGGAGGGGAGUGAAAUAGAUCCUGAAACCGCAUGCUUACAAAAAGUCGGAGCCCUUUGGGGUGACGGCGUACCUUUUGUAUAAUGGGUCAGCGACUUACAUUCAGUGGCAAGCUUAACCGAGUAGGGAAGGCGCAGGGAAACCGAGUCCGAACAGGGCGAUUUCAGUCGCUGGGUGUAGACCCGAAACCAGGUGAUCUAUCCAUGGCCAGGAUGAAGGUGCCGUAACAGGUACUGGAGGUCCGAACCCACUACUGUUGCAAAAGUAGGGGAUGAGCUGUGGAUAGGGGUGAAAGGCUAAACAAACCUGGAAAUAGCUGGUUCUCUCCGAAAACUAUUUAGGUAGUGCCUCAAGUAUCACCAUCGGGGGUAGAGCACUGUUAUGGCUAGGGGGUCAUCGCGACUUACCAAACCAUUGCAAACUCCGAAUACCAGUACGUACUAUCCGGGAGACACACGGCGGGUGCUAACGUCCGUCGUGAAAAGGGAAACAACCCAGACCCACAGCUAAGGUCCCAAAUUCACUGCUAAGUGGAAAACGAUGUGGAAAGGCAUAGACAGCCAGGAGGUUGGCUUAGAAGCAGCCACCCUUUAAAGAAAGCGUAAUAGCUCACUAGUCGAGUCGGCCUGCGCGGAAGAUGUAACGGGGCUAAAUCAUUCACCGAAGCUGCGGACUUGUGCUUGCACAAGUGGUAGAGGAGCGUUCUGUAAGCCGUUGAAGGUAAACCGGGAGGUUUGCUGGAGGUAUCAGAAGUGCGAAUGCUGACAUGAGUAACGAUAAGGGGAGUGAAAAACUUCCCCGCCGAAAGACCAAGGGUUCCUAUCCCAUGCUAAUCAGGGUAGGGUGAGUCGACUCCUAAGGCGAGGCUGAAAAGCGUAGUCGAUGGGAAACGGGUUAAUAUUCCCGUACUUCUAGUUACUGCGAUGGGGGGACGGAGAAGGCUAGGCCAGCUUGGCGUUGGUUGUCCAAGUUUAAGGUGGUAGGCUGAGAUCUUAGGUAAAUCCGGGAUCUUAAGGCCGAGAGCUGAUG